AACAGUGAUGGGAAUCUGAAUGCAAUUUAUGAAGCCAAGAUUAUUGCCUUUUAUUUGAUUGAAGGAUCAUCUUUUGGUUUGUCCCCAUAUAGCCUACAAUCAGCCAGGAUGUCAUACCGUUUGCAAAAGAAAAAGGGAGGAUUCAAAUGGUUUUACUUCAUCACUUUUUAAGUGAUGACCAAUUACGUUACAAUGAGGAAUGAAGCUUUUUGCUCUAUGACCAAAGCAUGGGUGAUUAUGUCAUUUCAACCUGCUAGUACCGCUGAGAAGAUUUAAAAAUCAAGUAAUCAAAGAACAUAGACCUUAUACAAGCCUCAUAGCCACAGCCAAUGGGACCCUUUAUGUCCGCCACUUUAUAAUUUCACUUAUGCAGUCACGGAUCAUUAGAAUC